rnacentral:lncRNA from 1 species
UGAGAGAUUAAAUCAUACUUCAUUUUUACAAGGAUCAAGAUAUGUAUGUGAAAUAAAUCCUUGCAAGUAAAAACACUUUCAUCCAUAUUCAUCAAAUUCAUUUCUCAAAAAAAUAUUUUUCACAUGAUAUGUGUAUGAGAGAUGUAUUUGCUAGUUAAUUACAUAUGUCAAAAAUCAAUGAUAUGAACUAAACUUGAUAUGACAUAUGCUUGUUAAGUU